CUGCUGCCUCCCGUAGGAGUCUGGACCGUGUCUCAGUUCCAGUGUGGCUGGUCAUCCUCUCAGACCAGCUAGGGAUCGUCGCCUAGGUGAGCCGUUACCCCACCUACUAGCUAAUCCCAUCUGGGCACAUCCGAUGGCAAGAGGCCCGAAGGUCCCCCUCUUUGGUCUCGCGACGUUAUGCGGUAUUAGCUACCGUUUCCAGUAGUUAUCCCCCUCCAUCAGGCAGUUUCCCAGACAUUACUCACCCGUCCG
rnacentral:rRNA from 1 species